rnacentral:tRNA from 1 species
AAGGGUGUAGCUCAGUGGUGGAGCACUUGCCUAGCAUAUGCAAGGAUCUGGACUCAAUACCCAGCACCUUUU